AGACCCGAAACCCGGUGAUCUAGCCAUGGGCAGGUUGAAGGUUGGGUAACACUAACUGGAGGACCGAACCGACUAAUGUUGAAAAAUUAGCGGAUGACCUGUGGCUGGGGGUGAAAGGCCAAUCAAACCGGGAGAUAGCUGGUUCUCCCCGAAAGCUAUUUAGGUAGCGCCUCGUGAAUUCAUCUCCGGGGGUAGAGCACUGUUUCGGCUAGGGGGCCAUCCCGGCUUACCAACCCGAUGCAAACUGCGAAUACCGGAGAAUGUUAUCACGGGAGACACACGGCGGGUGCUAACGUCCGUCGUGAAGAGGGAAACAACCCAGACCGCCAGCUAAGGUCCCAAAGUCAUGGUUAAGUGGGAAACGAUGUGGGAAGGCCCAGACAGCCAGGAUGUUGGCUUAGAAGCAGCCAUCAUUUAAAGAAAGCGUAAUAGCUCACUGGUCGAGUCGGCCUGCGCGGAAGAUGUAACGGGGCUAAACCAUGCACCGAAGCUGCGGCAGCGACGCUUAUGCGUUGUUGGGUAGGGGAGCGUUCUGUAAGCCUGUGAAGGUGUGUCGUGAGGCAUGCUGGAGGUAUCAGAAGUGCGAAUGCUGACAUAAGUAACGAUAAAGCGGGUGAAAAGCCCGCUCGCCGGAAGACCAAGGGUUCCUGUCCAACGUUAAUCGGGGCAGGGUGAGUCGACCCCUAAGGCGAGGCCGAAAGGCGUAGUCGAUGGGAAACGGGUUAAUAUUCCCGUACUUGGUGUUACUGCGAAGGGGGGACGGAGAAGGCUAUGUUGGCCGGGCGACGGUUGUCCCGGUUUAAGCGUGUAGGUGUGUGUUCCAGGUAAAUCCGGUUCACUUUAACACUGAGGCGUGAUGACGAGGCACUACGGUGCUGAAGUAACAAAUGCCCUGCUUCCAGGAAAAGCCUCUAAGCAUCAGGUAACAUCAAAUCGUACCCCAAACCGACACAGGUGGUCAGGUAGAGAAUACCAAGGCGCUUGAGAGAACUCGGGUGAAGGAACUAGGCAAAAUGGUGCCGUAACUUCGGGAGAAGGCACGCUGACACGUAGGUGAAGUGAUUUACUCACGGAGCUGAAGUCAGUCGAAGAUACCAGCUGG
rnacentral:rRNA from 1 species